AUCAAGCUGACGAGUCCGAAAUAGGACGAAACACACGUCCUGAAU
rnacentral:hammerhead_ribozyme from 1 species